UGUGAAAUGUUGGGUUAAGUCCCGCAACGAGCGCAACCCUUAUCCUUUGUUGCCAGCGGUCCGGCCGGGAACUCAAAGGAGACUGCCAGUGAUAAACUGGAGGAAGGUGGGGAUGACGUCAAGUCAUCAUGGCCCUUACGACCAGGGCUACACACGUGCUACAAUGGCGCAUACAAAGAGAAGCGACCUCGCGAGAGCAAGCGGACCUCAUAAAGUGCGUCGUAGUCCGGAUUGGAGUCUGCAACUCGACUCCAUGAAGUCGGAAUCGCUAGUAAUCGUGGAUCAGAAUGCCACGGUGAAUACGUUCCCGGGCCUUGUACACACCGCCCGUCACACCAUGGGAGUGGGUUGCAAAAGAAGUAGGUAGCUUAACCUUCGGGAGGGCGCUUACCACUUUGUGAUUCAUGACUGGGGUGAAGUCGUAACAAGGUAACCGUAGGGGAACCUGCGGUUGGAUCAC
rnacentral:rRNA from 1 species